rnacentral:rRNA from 1 species
CUUUUACAAUGAAGAGUUUGAUCCUGGCUCAGGAUGAACGCUAGCUACAGGCUUAACACAUGCAAGUCGAGGGGCAGCGGGGUUGAAGCUUGCUUCAACCGCCGGCGACCGGCGCACGGGUGAGUAACACGUAUCCAACCUGCCGAUAACUCCGGGAUAGCCUUUCGAAAGAAAGAUUAAUACCGGAUGGCAUAGUUUUCCCGCAUGGAAUAACUAUUAAAGAAUUUCGGUUAUCGAUGGGGAUGCGUUCCAUUAGGCAGUUGGCGGGGUAACGGCCCACCAAACCAACGAUGGAUAGGGGUUCUGAGAGGAAGGUCCCCCACAUUGGAACUGAGACACGGUCCAAACUCCUACGGGAGGCAGCAGUGAGGAAUAUUGGUCAAUGGACGAGAGUCUGAACCAGCCAAGUAGCGUGAAGGAUGACUGCCCUAUGGGUUGUAAACUUCUUUUAUACGGGAAUAAAGUUAGCCACGUGUGGUUUUUUGCAUGUACCGUAUGAAUAAGGAUCGGCUAACUCCGUGCCAGCAGCCGCGGUAAUACGGAGGAUCCGAGCGUUAUCCGGAUUUAUUGGGUUUAAAGGGAGCGUAGGCGGGGUAUUAAGUCAGUUGUGAAAGUUUGCGGCUCAACCGUAAAAUUGCAGUUGAUACUGGUAUCCUUGAGUGCAGCAGAGGUGGGCGGAAUUCGUGGUGUAGCGGUGAAAUGCUUAGAUAUCACGAAGAACUCCGAUUGCGAAGGCAGCUCACUGGAGUGUAACUGACGCUGAUGCUCGAAAGUGUGGGUAUCAAACAGGAUUAGAUACCCUGGUAGUCCACACAGUAAACGAUGAAUACUCGCUGUUGGCGAUACAAUGUCAGCGGCCAAGCGAAAGCAUUAAGUAUUCCACCUGGGGAGUACGCCGGCAACGGUGAAACUCAAAGGAAUUGACGGGGGCCCGCACAAGCGGAGGAACAUGUGGUUUAAUUCGAUGAUACGCGAGGAACCUUACCCGGGCUUGAAUUGCAACUGACUGAGCUGGAAACAGUUCUUUCUUCGGACAGUUGUGAAGGUGCUGCAUGGUUGUCGUCAGCUCGUGCCGUGAGGUGUCGGCUUAAGUGCCAUAACGAGCGCAACCCUUAUCGAUAGUUACCAUCAGGUCAUGCUGGGGACUCUAUCGAGACUGCCGUCGUAAGAUGUGAGGAAGGUGGGGAUGACGUCAAAUCAGCACGGCCCUUACGUCCGGGGCUACACACGUGUUACAAUGGGGGGUACAGAAGGCAGCUACACGGCGACGUGAUGCUAAUCCCCAAAACCUCUCUCAGUUCGGAUUGGAGUCUGCAACCCGACUCCAUGAAGCUGGAUUCGCUAGUAAUCGCGCAUCAGCCACGGCGCGGUGAAUACGUUCCCGGGCCUUGUACACACCGCCCGUCAAGCCAUGAAAGCCGGGGGUACCUGAAGUACGUAACCGCAAGGAGCGUCCUAGGGUAAAACUGGUGAUUGGGGCUAAGUCGUAACAAGGUAGCCGUACCGGAAGGUGCGGCUGGAACACCUCCUUUCUGGAGC